rnacentral:rRNA from 1 species
AAAUUGAAGAGUUUGAUCAUGGCUCAGAUUGAACGCUGGCGGCAGGCCUAACACAUGCAAGUCGAGCGGUAGCACAGAGAGCUUGCUCUCGGGUGACGAGCGGCGGACGGGUGAGUAAUGUCUGGGAAACUGCCUGAUGGAGGGGGAUAACUACUGGAAACGGUAGCUAAUACCGCAUAACGUCGCAAGACCAAAGUGGGGGACCUUCGGGCCUCAUGCCAUCAGAUGUGCCCAGAUGGGAUUAGCUAGUAGGUGGGGUAACGGCUCACCUAGGCGACGAUCCCUAGCUGGUCUGAGAGGAUGACCAGCCACACUGGAACUGAGACACGGUCCAGACUCCUACGGGAGGCAGCAGUGGGGAAUAUUGCACAAUGGGCGCAAGCCUGAUGCAGCCAUGCCGCGUGUGUGAAGAAGGCCUUCGGGUUGUAAAGCACUUUCAGCGGGGAGGAAGGCGAUAAGGUUAAUAACCUUGUCGAUUGACGUUACCCGCAGAAGAAGCACCGGCUAACUCCGUGCCAGCAGCCGCGGUAAUACGGAGGGUGCAAGCGUUAAUCGGAAUUACUGGGCGUAAAGCGCACGCAGGCGGUCUGUCAAGUCGGAUGUGAAAUCCCCGGGCUUAACCUGGGAACUGCAUUCGAAACUGGCAGGCUAGAGUCUUGUAGAGGGGGUAGAAUUCCAGGUGUAGCGGUGAAAUGCGUAGAGAUCUGGAGGAAUACCGGUGGCGAAGGCGGCCCCCUGGACAAAGACUGACGCUCAGGUGCGAAAGCGUGGGGAGCAAACAGGAUUAGAUACCCUGGUAGUCCACGCCGUAAACGAUGUCGAUUUGGAGGUUGUGCCCUUGAGGCGUGGCUUCCGGAGCUAACGCGUUAAAUCGACCGCCUGGGGAGUACGGCCGCAAGGUUAAAACUCAAAUGAAUUGACGGGGGCCCGCACAAGCGGUGGAGCAUGUGGUUUAAUUCGAUGCAACGCGAAGAACCUUACCUGGUCUUGACAUCCACAGAACUUUCCAGAGAUGGAUUGGUGCCUUCGGGAACUGUGAGACAGGUGCUGCAUGGCUGUCGUCAGCUCGUGUUGUGAAAUGUUGGGUUAAGUCCCGCAACGAGCGCAACCCUUAUCCUUUGUUGCCAGCGGUUCGGCCGGGAACUCAAAGGAGACUGCCAGUGAUAAACUGGAGGAAGGUGGGGAUGACGUCAAGUCAUCAUGGCCCUUACGACCAGGGCUACACACGUGCUACAAUGGCAUAUACAAAGAGAAGCGACCUCGCGAGAGCAAGCGGACCUCAUAAAGUAUGUCGUAGUCCGGAUUGGAGUCUGCAACUCGACUCCAUGAAGUCGGAAUCGCUAGUAAUCGUAGAUCAGAAUGCUACGGUGAAUACGUUCCCGGGCCUUGUACACACCGCCCGUCACACCAUGGGAGUGGGUUGCAAAAGAAGUAGGUAGCUUAACCUUCGGGAGGGCGCUUACCACUUUGUGAUUCAUGACUGGGGUGAAGUCGUAACAAGGUAACCGUAGGGGAACCUGCGGUUGGAUCACCUCCUUACCUUAAAGAA